UAAUCUGCCUUUGUAGUUCAGCCUUAAC
rnacentral:piRNA from 1 species